rnacentral:rRNA from 1 species
CCUACGGGCGGCAGCAGUGGGGAAUAUUGGACAAUGGGGGCAACCCUGAUCCAGCCAUGCCGCGUGUGUGAAGAAGGCCCUCGGGUUGUAAAGCACUUUCAGUGAGGAAGAACGCCUGGUGGUUAAUACCCAUCAGGAAAGACAUCACUCACAGAAGAAGCACCGGCUAACUCCGUGCCAGCAGCCGCGGUAAUACGGAGGGUGCGAGCGUUAAUCGGAAUUACUGGGCGUAAAGCGCGCGUAGGUGGCUUGAUAAGCCGGUUGUGAAAGCCCCGGGCUCAACCUGGGAACGGCAUCCGGAACUGUCAAGCUAGAGUGCAGGAGAGGAAGGUAGAAUUCCCGGUGUAGCGGUGAAAUGCGUAGAGAUCGGGAGGAAUACCAGUGGCGAAGGCGGCCUUCUGGACUGACACUGACACUGAGGUGCGAAAGCGUGGGUAGCAAACAGGAUUAGAUACCCGAGCAGUC